ACAACUAAGAGCUUCUUGAAACAUAAGAUCUUGACAUGUGAGGUCUUUGCUUUCAGUUAAUGGAAACAGGCCACUAUGAAAAAACUUGACUGUAUCCUCCUGGUGUCCCUCACCUCAGAAACUGCUGUAAGACACCAAUCUGUGAGUGGGAAUUCUGUAUGGCAGGCUGGAGCAGGCUUGGUCCCUGUGGUCUUGCAGGAUAGAACACAGUGCAUUCUUGCAAAUUUAUUUGCAACAUUUUGCCUGCCUCCUAUAAAUUUACUUUUGUUCAUACAUGCUUACCCACUAGCAGCUAAAAUUUAUCACCAAGGUUUAUGUAAAGGUUUGAUGUAAGAAGCUAAAGGUAAGCAUGAAAAAGGGGUAAAAAGAUAUUUUCCCAUUGCUACAGAUAUUCCAUUCCAGCGCUUCCCAACAAGAGGCAUUUUCAGGCUUAUCAAAAUGGGAUAGAAAUGGUUUCAUCAGUGUGCUAGUGCUCCCUCAGUCACACUCUGACCUUGGGCAGGUAAUUUAUCUGCUCUGUGCAUCAGUUUUUCCUUCUACAGAAAGGAGGAAUUGAAUUUCACCUUAUAGGGACAUGCUGUGAAGCUUGAGAGUUUUAAGGGUGACAGAAGCAGACCAAAUAAAGGGAGAAGAUACAAGACCUGAGACAGAUCCAGCUCUUGGGUUAAUUUCCCAGGACUUUGGCCUUACAGUGCAAGGCCAAAAGAAUUAAAAAAAUUAACAAUAGAUAAGUCUUCAUAAAAUUUAAACAUGAUAUUAGCUGCCUCUCAAAGUCAUAACAUUAAAUUUAAAACUUCUAAAUUACGAGAGCUUUCAGAGCAAAGUGCUACACAGUAGCUCAAAUGGAACAGAAAUAAAAAGGCAUUUAUAUCCAACUGCCCUCCAGCCAGCCACUCCUGUGCAGGCUGGGCUCAACUUCCAGUCAGCAGCUGCAGUGAACACAAUGAUUUUCUAAGCUGCACCAAACUCUGCUCAGGAACGUCCCAGCAGCUGAGGAGGUCCCUGUGCUAUCACCCCCAUGCUGCCAUGGCCAUCCCAGCAGAGCCGCAGUCCCUGUGGACAUCCAGAGCAGCCCCAGCCAGCAGGGAGAACAGCACCCAAAAACCCAGGUGCACUGCCCUGGCCAGCCUGGUCUGGCUGCUCACUGAUGGACCAGGGCAGACCAAUGCACUCCCCACAGGAAAGCAGAGAGGCAAGAAACAUGAACUGGGUUCAGUCUGGGGAGACCCUGCUUGUGGCAGCUGCUGAUUCGGGUCCAUACCUCCACCAGGAGCACGUUCAUGUGUCCAUCCACUCUCCCACUCUGCAGCAGGGGACCAAAAUGAUUCUGGGACAUCUGUCAAAUCUCUGCCCUCUCACUGGUUUUAUGGAGGAUUUUUAUUUCUAGAUUUUAUUUUUUGUUUGUUUGGGUUUUUUUUGUGGUUUUUUAUUUCAUUGGUUAAAGUCUAAAAAAUUAAAUGACUUCUUUACUUUUCUCUAAACACCAGGUGUCUAUUUCUCAAAACUGCAUUUUAGAAGGCAAGAGGCCCUCAAGAUGGGUGCUGCAGGAGUGGGACACGCUGUCUGGCAAAGGCAAAGGGCAGCCAAGGGGGCUGUGGCUGUGGCCCAGAGCUGCCAGUGGCACUGCACAGUUUCCUGCUGCCCUUCCUGCAGGGAAGGCUCCUGCAGGACCCUCCAGCAGCAGCUGCUGGGAUGUGCAGAGCCACAGACCUGAGCUCUUUGCUGCUCCUCUUGCCAUCCCUCUCCCCUCAGUUCUCCAAGGUGACCAAGUGGACCCUCUGAAACACCUUCUCCCAAAAGAUUCAUUUAUGGCAGUUCCUCAAGCAGCAUUGCUUUUGAGGAAAUCCAAGAAGAUGUAUUUGAAAGCAAUAGUAUUGUGACUGCACAAUAAAAGCCAUUUACCCUAAUCCCUUUAAAAACUGGUAAUAGGGAUUUAAAAGUACUGAAGCUUAAAAAUGUUGAAAUUUGAAGGAAAGACAAAUAUAAACCAAAAAUAUUGGGGAAGGAAAAAAGAAUGUUCGGAUAAUUUAUACAGCAAA